UAAAGAACUCUUAAAACCCAAU
rnacentral:miRNA from 1 species